UACAGAGGUCUCAAGCGUUGUUCGGAUUCAUUGGGCGUAAAGGGUGCGUAGGCGGCGCGGUAAGUCGGGUGUGAAAUCUCGGAGCUUAACUCCGAAACUGCAUUCGAUACUGCCGUGCUUGAGGACUGGAGAGGAGACUGGAAUUUACGGUGUAGCGGUGAAAUGCGUAGAUAUCGUAAGGAAGACCAGUGGCGAAGGCGGGUCUCUGGGCAACAACUGACGCUGAGGAGCGAAAGCGUGGGGAGCGAACAGG
rnacentral:rRNA from 1 species